UUAUUGUAAAAUAACUCUGAAACGCAGAGAGCCAUCAGCUAAAGUUUUCGCGUGUCAUGCUGAAUCUUGGUGUUUGCAAAGGGGGAAAGAUACCUGUGUUCAUGCCAUGCCCGUGAAUGCAAUGACUUUUCUACGUAUAUAUUAGAUGGACAUCUAUCAAUGUAUACAGGCAGGCAUCAGUGAAUCUGGUACUUGAUCACAGAAUAGUUCAGUAUGGACUUCAUUGUUUCUGAACUGCUCUGGCAUUCCAGGAGCCCUUCUUUUUUUUAGCAACCCACCCCAUAUACAUUGGAAAUAACGUACAAAUACACGCCACGCAUGCCCGAAUAGCUAGAUAUUUGCACUUUCUUUCUGAGAAGCACCGGGCUUACAGAAACAGCAGCGAUUUCAAUCAAACACAGCAUAUAUUACAUUCCUUUAAUAUGCUGGGGGGGGGGGGGAGAGGAUAAAUCAAUGCUGCUUUCUUUUUUAUCAGACUCCAGCAACCUUCGCCAUCACGCCACACACUUCCAGUCUAUUCAACUUUUAUUUUGUUCUUGUUUUUGACCAGGUAUGGCUAAUACAUACGGAUAGAGUAGCACCGUGGCUCGGUAACACAACCUCAGUACUAUACAGAGGGCAACAGCAACUAGGUAACCGAUCUAAGUAUACUGGGGCGGCUGCUGAUUUGCCAUUGCAUGGAGGUAGUCAACAUUUCUUCCUGAAUACGUGCACUCAAGCCCAGAACAGACCAGCGGCUGCACAGACAGCAAAAUGCAAAAAUGCGCAGAUACAGUCCCUUCUCAUAAAAAAAAAUAAUCUCUAUUUAAGGCAUUUUGGACUAGAGAGUUGGACUCUUAUGUUCCCAAGCAAGUGCAAACACAGGGACCCAGAUGCAUAGGCGACUAUAUAGAGGAUUAAUUGCUGCAAUCGCUCUCCCCCUCCACUUCUUCUACAUGCACCCCCCCCCCCUUUCUACCGCAGAAAUAAUAUAUGUCACUAAAAAGCCGCAGGUGCUGAGAUGAUUGGAAAGUUGUAAAAAGCACCUACACUUGACCAUGUCCUGUUUAUAAACCUGGGAUAUAAUAAGAUCCCAUCAACAAAGAUGGGCUGCUGGUCCGUUUCAAAGGCAGGCUGUACACUUCCAAUUGAUCCUGAUGUGGCAACAUAAACCCUGAACUUAAACAAUGAUCAAGGGAGGAUGGAAAAGAAACAGGGGGAAGGGAAAAGCUUUCGCCGGUAAAGUGGGGAGAACAGCCUGCUGGCUUCCAAAUCUCUCAGACACGAGAGGGGGGACGACGCAUUUUGGCUCACAACCUAGACUGCCUCGCAGGUUCCUGGGGAAUGUUUUGAAGAGGGGAGGGAAAAAAAGGUUUUCUGUCUCAAAUCUUAUACAUUACACAAGAACAAUUCAAAAUCACAGGGAAAACACGAGUACCUUUUUAAGCACAGACAAGCGGGUUUCAACAGCAUUUACAUUAUGAGUAGUUUAAAUGUGUGAUCGUAAAGAAAGAAAGAAAGAAAAAAAAGCCAGUGAUACAUACUUAAAAGCUGCAGUGCACCCUAAUUGCUUAAACCAUAAUGAAGAAUGCGCCAGAUUAACUAUUUGCUCCUCGAAGGAUGCAACAAUAUAACUAUCUAUUAACGCCAUUAGAUGGUUUCCUAUUUAUUUUGAAAACAGCCCUGCCAAGUGAGCUGAUGUGGAAUAGAUGAAUGUAACGCUGAGCUGUAGCUAAUUUUGCUAAAUAAUAUUUGAAAGCUGAGUGCAUCGCAGAUAAAUGAAGACUCUCAGACGUCCUUAUCGGAGAUCAGUUCACAAGAGAAGCAGCAAUUUUUUUUUUAAAGUAGGAUUGUAUUUUAUGGUAUUGACUUCUUUUUUAAUAAAUCCUUCCUGCCAUCUUUCUGCAGAUGUAAAUUUAUUUUAAUGAGCUGGAGGGGGAAGGUUUAUUUUGCUAAAAUAGAGGUUGUGAGAGCGUCAGUGGAAGUCUUCGGGCGGUGGGAAGGGGGGAGCUGGGGGUCCCCCCUCCCCCCUUGGCAAAAAGUUGCUCCCCAGCCCUUUAAUUCUGUCUGGAUUAAAUCGCAAUAUGAAUACAGCAUCGAACAAAUGCUGAGUCUCUCUCUGAACUCAGUGGAAAGCAGUUACGUCUAGCAGAAUUCAAUGAAUUCCUCUUCUCCCUCAAUGUAGUAUGUGUGUGUUUUUCUCUUCCACCACACUGAAGUUCCAUGAAUAGGGAAAGUGGCUCCUAUUGUGUGCCUCUGAACUUCCAAGUCAAUGCAAUUUUUAACCACUGGCUUGUGGUACUUUGAAAAUCACCAGGGGCUGUCAGAGUUGGGUCCUCUGAAAAAUUUACAGUGCUAAAUCAGAGCAUAUGCUGGGAGAGAGGGAAAAAAAUGCUUAAGAUUGGAGCAAGUACAGUAUCUGGCUGCCCCCUAGUGUAAGACUCUUAUCUGCCUAAAAUUCAACUUUCAAAGAAAAGGAUCUCUUAAAGGGAAACGACUUUUGGCUCACGUAUGCAAGCGAGAAUGAAACUUCUGUACAUUUUAAUCUGAUUAAUACCUAAGGAUUUCAGAUUAAUUGACUUGGGCACUCCUGGACCGGACUCUAACAUUUCUGCUGCAGGGCUCCCUUCAAGAAGCCCUGUAUUCAAUAGUCUGAAGACAGAAAUAUGUGCACUAUUCAGAGGUGCGUACAUUUUUGAUGCAGAAAGCAACAGCACGAUAUUGUGCCAUAAUGAAUCCUUCAUCAUGAUUGAAAAAGUGCAACAGGGAAACAUGUUUAAUAGGCUGAAAAAUAAAGAAAGACCAGCUAAUGGAAGCCCAUGAAGUGCUGGUUCUUACUGCCCAAUUUCCCACCUGUAGCCAAAGGACAGGAACGAACCAUCCAUCAAACAGAAAAAUGAAAGACUAGAAGUUCUGCUUCGAUGCCAAGAGUGACAGACACAUCAGAAAUAAACCAGAAUAUGAGAGCGAGAAAGACAAAUCAGUGAGCGAGCAAGCAUGCAAGAGCAAGCACGCGCAUCCUUUUGCCGUAUUCUUCAGUAUUGUUUUAAUUUGUGCUUAUGGCACUAGUUUACUAUCACAUCAGUGAUGGUGGUGAUAUCAGUUUUCACUCUCAUAUUAAGCAGAAUAAGCUGAAGAAACAAGCCCCAGAUGUUGAUAUGAGUAAAGCAAAAAACACGAUUUCCGAAUAAUGCCCAGAAAAAGACACCUUUUACGCGUAGAGAUGUCAACAAAUAUGCACCAGGGCUCGGACCCACUCUGACUGAGCUCAGGGUUGAAAGUCUACUGCAUUCCCGGCAGUCUGGCCAGCACGAUGUGAAAACAUUUGCUGAGAAGCUUCCAAUCAUUCUGCCUUCUCCUGGCUCCCCAGAAUAAUCUCUGAAGACACUGAAAAGGUUCAGAUAACUGAAGAAGAGUCCAGAUUAGAAGAGCACAUGUAACUCUUCCAUCAGGCUGCUAUUCUACUCUGCUCCUCCUCCAUUUUAAGGUAAAAUAAUGAAGAAAUGAAGAAGGAAGCUUUCUUGAGUUUACAGCAGAAAUAAAGCCAAAAAAACAAGGACAGGAAGGCUUCUCUAGACCAGCAACUGGAGCAAAGCACAGAAAUGCAUGCUUGUCAUUGAAGUGAGCGGAGAAGAAGGAAGAGGAGAAUGAUAAGAUCGUCGCCUGCAGCACUUUGUUUAUGAGAACAUCCUUCCAGUGAUAUAUGUCUGCACCAGGUCCCACCUCGAGAGUUGUGAUGGGCCCCUCUUUUUCUACUACUUCCAAAGACUGUGGAGUUCCGCGUUCUCUUCAUUAUCUGUACGAAGCCAUUGAAAAGGGAAAUUUUGAAGCAUCAUAGACUAAGAAAGACCAGCCCUAGGCAGAUGACACUUUGCUCUAUAUCACCUUGACAUCAGACAUAGCACCAUCUCACAACUCUCUAGGUGGAGAUUGGUCUGGAGAGUAGCUGUUUAACCUGGAGCCAGAAAUGUAUCCCAUACCUUUCAUCUGAUUUGCAAAUGACAAUCAUUAAAAUAAUAAAAUAAAAUAAAUUGAGGACAUUCCUUAUAAUAUGGUAAGUUCCUAGUUC